UGUGAGGCUAGACGGGGACGAGACAGAGCCCGAAAAAGCCUAGUCAAUACUUGGGUAUGUAUUGUUAUCUUUUUCAUGCACUGCCUCUUCCCUGGCUAUCAUCUUUC
rnacentral:pre_miRNA from 1 species